AUGACGAAGGCAAACUCAUCUGGCUCGAGAGUUGAUGGCGGCGGAGGAAAGAUAGUUGGGGAAGCGGGGCGGAUAGCGGAGGUGGAGGCGGCUGAGGUUGCGGGAGGGAGUAAACCAAAUCGGGAGGAAUCACUAGAUGAGAAGUUGAAGUAUCUGAAUCUUAGGGAAGAAGAAGAGGAAGAUGUGAUCUUGGAGGAAGACAUGGAGGAACUAGAGAAGGAUGCAGAGUUCAUGGCGCUAGCCCGGUUGCAUAUCUCAAGAAAAUUCAGUCACGGGGCUUUCUAUGGAACGAUGAGAUCGGCAUGGAAUCUGGCAUAGGAAGUAGAGUUCAGAGCUAUAGAAGAUAACCUGUUCUCCGUACAGAUCGCAUGCUUGGCGGACUGGGAGAGAGUUAUGCUUGAAGGACCGUGGAUCUUUCAAAAUUGUCCAGUGCUGCUUGCCCCAUAUGAUGGAUGGUCAGAACCAAGCGAGGUAGAGUUAAAUACCUAUCAGGUGUGGGUGAGGGUGAUGGGUUUGAAGGAGAAGAUGAGGAGUGCAAACAUAGCUCGUCAGUUGGCAAGGAAGGCAGGGAUGGUGGAAAGAGUUGAUGAACGAUCUGUUAAGGGCCAAGGUGGGGGCAUUAGAGUACGUGUAACUUUAGACGUACGAAAGCCCCUCACUAGAUGUGCUAGUUUGACGCUGAGGAUGAAGAAAUUGUAUUUUGAUUUUGAAUAUGAAAAGAUGCCAUGGUUUUGUGGAGUUUGCGGGUUUGUAGGUCAUGUGGCAAAGGAACAUGGGAAUGGGGUUCAUGAGGAGUCUGCUAUUAUUUACCCCAUAACUCUGAUUGCGCCGGAGUUUAGAAGGGAGGAUCAGAUUGGGAUGGAUGGCUCAUAUGGCAGAGGAGGAGGAGGUAGAUCGGGAGGAGGAGGUAGAGGGGGUUUUGCGGCAGGAACAGAUCCCAGUGGACCAAGGAAGGAAAAUGAUGAGUUAAGCAGUUCUGCUAGUAGCCCCUUGAAAUCAAAUGAUGUCCACUCGCAAACUUCGAGUGCUCUGAAGAGAAGACUGGAGUUUGAGGAGAAGGGGAAAGGGAAUUAG
rnacentral:rRNA from 1 species